CAGUCGCCGCGGUAAUACGUAGGUGGCAAGCGUUGUCCGGAAUUAUUGGGCGUAAAGGGCUCGCAGGCGGUUUCUUAAGUCUGAUGUGAAGGCCCCCGGCUCAACCGGGGAGGGUCAUUGGAAACUGGGAAACUUGAGUGCAGAAGAGGAGAGUGGAAUUCCACGUGUAGCGGUGAAAUGCGUAGAGAUGUGGAGGAACACCAGUGGCGAAGGCGACUCUCUGGUCUGUAACUGACGCUGAGGAGCGAAAGCGUGGGGAGCGAACAGGAUUAGAUACCCCGGUAGUCCCUGUCUCUUAUAC
rnacentral:rRNA from 1 species